rnacentral:rRNA from 1 species
UUAGUGGGGAAUAACUGUUGGAAACGACAGCUAAUACCGCAUAAUAUUGCUGGAUAAUUUCCAGUAAUGAAAGGAGCUUUCAAGCUCCGCUGAUUGAUGAGGAUGCGGCGCAUUAGCUAGUUGGUAGGGUAAUGGCCUACCAAGGCAAUGAUGCGUAGCCGAUCUGAGAGGAUGAACGGCCACAUUGGGACUGAGACACGGCCCAAACUUCUACGGAAGGCAGCAGUAGGGAAUUUUUCACAAUGGGCGAAAGCCUGAUGGAGCAAUGCCGCGUGACUGAUGAAGGUCUUCGGAUUGUAAAGGUCUGUUGUAAGGGAAGAAAUGGUAAAACAGGAAAUGGUUUUAUCUAUGACGGUACCUUACCAGAAAGCCACGGCUAACUAUGUGCCAGCAGCCGCGGUAAUACAUAGGUGGCAAGCGUUAUCCGGAUUUAUUGGGCGUAAAGGGUGCGUAGACGGUUUUGCAAGUCUGANGUUAAAUUUAGGAGCUCAACUCCUAAUCGCCUUGGAAACUACAAGACUAGAGUAUAGGAGAGGUUAGUGGAAUU